UGAGUAACCUGCCCUGGACUUUGGGAUAACCCUCGGAAACGGGGGCUAAUACCGGAUAUGACACGCUCUCGCAUGGGAUGUGUGUGGAAAGUUUUUUCGGUCUGGGAUGGGCUCGCGGCCUAUCAGCUUGUUGGUGGGGUGAUGGCCUACCAAGGCGACGACGGGUAGCCGGCCUGAGAGGGCGACCGGCCACACUGGGACUGAGACACGGCCCAGACUCCUACGGGAGCA
rnacentral:rRNA from 1 species